CAAGGUUUCCCCUAGUAACGGCGAGUGAACCGGGAAGAGCUCAAAUUUGAAAUCUGGCGUGCUCAGUGCGUCCGAGUUGUAAUCUAUAGAGGCGUUUUCCGUGCCGGACUGUGUCUAAGUCCCUUGGAACAGGGUAUCAAAGAGGGUGAUAAUCCCGUACUUGACACAAUGACCGGUGCUCUGUGAUACGUCUUCUACGAGUCGAGUUGUUUGGGAAUGCAGCUCAAAAUGGGUGGUGAGUUCCAUCUAAAGCUAAAUAUUGGCGAGAGACCGAUAGCGAACAAGUACCGUGAGGGAAAGAUGAAAAGCACUUUGGAAAGAGAGUUAAACAGUACGUGAAAUUGUUGAAAGGGAAACGAUUGAAGUCAGUCGUGACUGAGAGGCUCAGCCGGUUCUGCCGGUGUAUUCCCCUCAGUCGGGUCAACAUCAGUUUUGUUCGGUGGAUAAGGGCAGCUGGAAGGUGGCACCUCCGGGUGUGUUAUAGCCAGCUGUCGCAUACAUCGAAUGAGACUGAGGAAUGCAGCUCGCCUUUAGGCCGGGGUUCGCCCACUCCGAGCUAGGAUG
rnacentral:rRNA from 1 species